rnacentral:rRNA from 1 species
CUCCUGGGAAGUCCUCGUGUUACACCCC